UACGUAGGGGGCAAGCGUUGUCCGGAAUCAUUGGGCGUAAAGAGCGUGUAGGCGGCUCGGUAAGUCCGCUGUGAAAGUCCAGGGCUCAACCCUGGAAUGCCGGUGGAAACUGUCGAGCUAGAAUCCGGAAGAGGCGAGUGGAAUUCCUGGUGUAGCGGUGAAAUGCGCAGAUAUCAGGAGGAGCACCAAUGGCGAAGGCAGCUCGCUGGGACGGUAUUGACGCUGAGACGCGAAAGCGUGGGGAGCAAACAGG
rnacentral:rRNA from 1 species